CCUACGGGAGGCAGCAGUGGGGAAUAUUGGACAAUGGGGGAAACCCUGAUCCAGCGACGCCGCGUGAGUGAAGAAGUAUUUCGGUACGUAAAGCUCUAUCAGCAGGAAAGAAAAUGACGGUACCUGACUAAGAAGCCCCGGCUAACUACGUGACAGCAGCCGCGGGAAUACGUAGGGGGCAAGCGUUAUCCGGAUUUACUGGGUGUAAGGGGAGCGUAGACGGCAGCGCAAGUCUGGAGUGAAAUGCCGGGGCCCAACCCCGGAACGGCUGUGGAAACUGUGAAGCUGGAGUGCAGGAGAGGUAAGCGGAAUUCCUGGUGUAGCGGUGAAAUGCGUAGAUAUCAGGAGGAACACCGGCGGCGAAGGCGGCUUACUGGACUGUAACUGACGUUGAGGCUCGAAGGCGUGGGGAGCAAACAGGAUUAGAUACCCGGGUAGUC
rnacentral:rRNA from 1 species